GUGGUCUCGGUCGAAGAAGGCACACCGCUUCCUUGCCUGUUUUGGUGGCUUCGCUUUGUAAACGUAAACUAUCCGAAAUGUGAAACAAUGUAUGAAAUCUCGCAGCUAGUGCGGACUCAGCUGACUAUGCGGCGUGAACACGAUCUCCUCCCUCCGACUGCUGUGAGGCGUCUCGGCUCUCGUCUCUCUCUGUUUUUAAUGUCAUAUGCUUUAUAGGCAUGCAAGGAAGGUAAACAAUAUGUCUAAGGUGUAAAGAAUACUAUAAAAAAUGAGUUGUAAGUAAUUGAGAUUAAACACGAGCAAGGAAAUAAAUAAGUUGCCAUGUACCUGAACGUCUCAGGCUGGGCUCUGUCUUAAUUUCCAGUGCAGGUCUCUCGUCUCACUCACUUGUUUCUGUUUAAUAAUAGCUAAGCAUACCCUACAUUUAUUCCAAAUUUAUUGUGGGAAUACUGACUAUAGUUUCUUAAAGCUACUAACGUGCCCAAAACCGAAACUACGGUAAAUCUUAAAAGUGCCUCUUUCGUCGUAAUUAUGCUUUCACACGAAGGUUUGACUCAUAUUCAAUCCCAAAUAAAGCCUCGGUUGCUUUUUGGCGAGAGUUUCGCUUUAACUUGCUGUGGCAACAUGUUUUUAUUGUGCUCUCAUUUUGAAAAUUUCGUCCCUAUGUUACAGAAUGAGUGUGGGAGCCACUCAUCACAGGUCAACGCUGAGUUCCAUCGUAAAUCUUGAGGCCAAAUUCAUGUUCCUGUUAGACCACUACACCCCUAAACUGCUUUCCAUCUUCCAAGUCAAGAAAGGUGCUGCUGGAGAGAGACAUCGUACAGAAAUGAAUAUUCUACUGCAGAAUGGAAUUCCCAUAGAGAAAACCAGAGAAGUUGUCAUCCGAUGUCUCAUUGAUCACCUUGGCGAAGAUGUGGGUGCCUUAAUCAAGGAGUUUGACGUGGCAGAGGCAGCGCAGAGGUCGGGUCGAGCAGAACUGGAUGAAAUUGGACCGGGAACUGGUGACAAAGGCAUACAGAAAAUUUUGAUGAUUCAGCCGCCAAUGUGGAAGAAGAGCUGGCAGCAGAGACGAUGGCUCUGUACCUUGUGCGUAAUGAAGAUGGACAAGUCAGGGAUGUAGGGAUCGUCACUGAGGGUUCCACCGUACUCAACCAGCUUGGGGAUCUCAGCAGAGCCUGCUGAUACUUGCUUGGACUAACUUAUGCCUUGGACCCUAAAUACCCCAAAACUCUGAAAUACAUUUUUGAGAUAUUUCAAAAGAUGCUUGUUGAAGUGGAUGCUGGAACCCUGUCAACAAAGGUGCAACGUCUGAAAAACAAUGUAAUGAUAUAGUUGUCUGUGGGGUAGAUGAGCACAGAUGAGACUCAUACCCAACUGAACCAUGCCUGUAAGUUAGACUGUACCCGCAGUAAUUAGUGAGGUUCUUCUGGACAGGAACUUGGACAAUCCAUGGCUUCAUUUCGUCAAACCACCUCCAGGUGUUGUCUGACUGAUUGCAUGAUCUGAUGUUUUUUUGAUUGUACAUUUACAUUUUGCAAUAAUAUGCAUUUUUUCUUUAUAUACUUCACUUUUUUCUUUGAUCAUUCCUGUAAGGCAUUAGGCAUCCAAUUUUCGAGUCAGUGAUUUAAAUGUUGUACUUAGGAGAAAGUUGUUUUUGUAUUUUCAGUUUAAAGUAUCUGUAAUUGUGAGAAAUGCAGGUGUUUGAAAAGCCAGAUAUGCUGUGGAGAUGAUUUUGCCCUUGUGUCAUAGAUUGUGAUAGGCCCAACUGUUAGUCAUCAAUGUGUUUAGUGUGAAGAUUACCCCUUGCAUUAAUAUACAUCUUUAAUAUGUACUUAUUUUUUCAUGGCCAUUUGGCAAGAAGCAUUUUAGUUCAGAGGCGUUUGAUCUUGGGUAUCCUGAAUUGCCUUUCCUGUAACAGCUUUGAAUGUGCUGCUGUAGGUUUUGUCCAUGUAACUUGAGUGGUAAGACAGACAGACAUGUUAAUGAGUUAAAUGUUAGUUGGUGAUGGUUCAAAUGAAAAGAACAGUUGAACCCCUCUGUUGUUGUGAUACAGCUCCAGUUGUUGUGGAGAAGUUGCCAAGCUAAGUAUUUUAAAAAAUUCCUUGUUGAAAUGCACUUUUAUGUAUUAGGUAUGUGCAUAUACUGGAAAAAAUUUAAUUUUCUGUGGAAAAAAAUGUUUUAAAAUAAAGUUUAAUGUUUUGUCAGAUCUUGGUCAUAUUUGUAUAUAGUACUGAAUAUCCUCAAAUCAAAUACAGCAUGUAGUGAAUUAAGUUUAAAAAAUCAGUCAGUACAACACAUAUUUUUAGUAAGUCAUUAGCAAAUUUGCAAUUAUCUCCCACAAAUAUUUUUAAUUAUAUUUACUCAGUUUCUUUAGUGCUUUCUACUCACGUUUUCUAUAUGGUUUACACAGUAUUUCAGUUACAUUUACUCAAUUUAUGUGGUAUUUGUGCCAAGUCAAAUCAUUCAGACCUAAUUGAAAAUAUUACUUAGAUUUACUCAUUACUCGUGUUUUGUUUUAACAGAUUUGAGAGCUUUCAAAUCAACUCAAUAUUUUUAAGUGUAAAAAUGUUUCACUAAUUUAAUUAAGUAUUAUGCAGUAUUAUUUUUUAGAGUGUGGACAGAAGUUGUUUCACUUCAUGAAAUGAAUAUUAAAAUAUGUAGAAUAAUAAUCUCCCUUCAUGGUGCAAAAUAAGCAGAGAAACAAAGUCAUUUACAGUUGACUUGAUAGAUUUACUGUGUAGAUUUACUGAUUUAAAGUGAAACUCUUGCCAAAAUGCAACCUAGGCUUUUUUUGUGAAUGUAUAUGAGUCAAACCUUCGUGAAAAAGCUUAAUUAUGACGAAAGAGGCACUUUUAAGAUUUACUGUGUUUUCGUGUUCGGGUCAAACUAAUUUUCAACGGGAGUGCUACGGGCACUUUUACACUGUUUGUGAACACAGAGUUUACUAAAAAGAAGGAUUUUGAACAACUCACGUUAGCAGUAGCUUGUUCCGCUCGCCGCCGUCCUGCCAGUGGAGAAGUGUCGAUCUUAGAAUGUGACGUAACCUGGAGGACAGUUAAGGUGGA
ensembl:lncRNA